AUGGGUUUUCAUCUUUUUAUUGGAAACGAACACUGUAAUCUGUCACCACUGCCAGCAUAUGAGCCUGCAUUUGAUUGGGAGAAUGAGAGGUCUUUGAUAUUUGGCCAAAGGGUGCCAGAAAGUAUACCAGCAAUAAGCAACAGUGGCUUGAAGAUAACUGUCAAGGUACUAUCUUUGUCAUUCCAAGCUGGAUUAGUUGAACCUUUCAGUGGAACGAUUUGCUUGUAUAACAGAGAUAGAAGAGAAAAACUGUCAGAAGACUUCUACUUUCACAUACUUCCAACAGAUAUGCAGGAUGCUCAGGGUUCUUUGGAUCGUCGAGGAGUUUUUUCAUUGGACACACAUUCACCAUCAGUCUGCCUUUUGAUUCAAUUGGAAAAGGCUGCUACUGAAGAAGGGGGAGUAACACCUUCUGUUUAUUCUCAUAAAGAGCCUGUAAGUUAA